UGUUAGCAGCAUACUGUCCUGAACACACCACUUUUAUUUCGUUUUGGAAGCUAAGCAGGGUUGAGCCCAAUCAGUAUUUGGAUGGGAGGCAAGUAUGAAACAUAAUUGAUCUUCUUACAG
rnacentral:rRNA from 1 species